CUAAACCAUGCACCGAAGCUGCGGCAGCGACGCUGAUGCGUUGUUGGGUAGGGGAGCGUUCUGUAAGCCUGUGAAGGUGGCCUGUGAGGGUUGCUGGAGGUAUCAGAAGUGCGAAUGCUGACAUAAGUAACGAUAAAGCGGGUGAAAAGCCCGCUCGCCGGAAGACCAAGGGUUCCUGUCCAACGUUAAUCGGGGCAGGGUGAGUCGACCCCUAAGGCGAGGCCGAAAGGCGUAGUCGAUGGGAAACGGGUUAAUAUUCCCGUACUUGGUGUUACUGCGAAGGGGGGACGGAGAAGGCUAUGUUGGCCGGGCGACGGUUGUCCCGGUUUAAGCGUGUAGGUGUGUGUUCCAGGUAAAUCCGGUUCACUUUAACACUGAGGCGUGAUGACGAGGCACUACGGUGCUGAAGCAACAAAUGCCCUGCUUCCAGGAAAAGCCUCUAAGCAUCAGGUAACAUCAAAUCGUACCCCAAACCGACACAGGUGGUCAGGUAGAGAAUACCAAGGCGCUUGAGAGAACUCGGGUGAAGGAACUAGGCAAAAUGGUGCCGUAACUUCGGGAGAAGGCACGCUGACACGUAGGUGAAGUGAUUUACUCAUGGAGCUGAAGUCAGUCGAAGAUACCAGCUGGCUGCAACUGUUUAUUAAAAACACAGCACUGUGCAAACACGAAAGUGGACGUAUACGGUGUGACGCCUGCCCGGUGCCGGAAGGUUAAUUGAUGGGGUCAGCGCAAGCGAAGCUCCUGAUCGAAGCCCCGGUAAACGGCGGCCGUAACUAUAACGGUCCUAAGGUAGCGAAAUUCCUUGUCGGGUAAGUUCCGACCUGCACGAAUGGCGUAAUGAUGGCCAGGCUGUCUCCACCCGAGACUCAGUGAAAUUGAACUCGCUGUGAAGAUGCAGUGUACCCGCGGCAAGACGGAAAGACCCCGUGAACCUUUACUAUAGCUUGACACUGAACAUUGAGCCUUGAUGUGUAGGAUAGGUGGGAGGCUUUGAAGUGUGGACGCCAGUCUGCAUGGAGCCGACCUUGAAAUACCACCCUUUAAUGUUUGAUGUUCUAACGUGGACCCGUAAUCCGGGUUGCGGACAGUGUCUGGUGGGUAGUUUGACUGGGGCGGUCUCCUCCUAAAGAGUAACGGAGGAGCACGAAGGUUGGCUAAUCCUGGUCGGACAUCAGGAGGUUAGUGCAAUGGCAUAAGCCAGCUUGACUGCGAGCGUGACGGCGCGAGCAGGUGCGAAAGCAGGUCAUAGUGAUCCGGUGGUUCUGAAUGGAAGGGCCAUCGCUCAACGGAUAAAAGGUACUCCGGGGAUAACAGGCUGAUACCGCCCAAGAGUUCAUAUCGACGGCGGUGUUUGGCACCUCGAUGUCGGCUCAUCACAUCCUGGGGCUGAAGUAGGUCCCAAGGGUAUGGCUGUUCGCCAUUUAAAGUGGUACGCGAGCUGGGUUUAGAACGUCGUGAGACAGUUCGGUCCCUAUCUGCCGUGGGCGCUGGAGAACUGAGGGGGGCUGCUCCUAGUACGAGAGGACCGGAGUGGACGCAUCACUGGUGUUCGGGUUGUCAUGCCAAUGGCACUGCCCGGUAGCUAAAUGCGGAAGAGAUAAGUGCUGAAAGCAUCUAAGCACGAAACUUGCCCCGA
rnacentral:rRNA from 1 species